rnacentral:lncRNA from 1 species
UCUCUCUCUCUCUCUCUCUCUCUCUCUCUCUCUCUCUCUCUCUCUCUCUCCCCUUCCUUCCGUCCCUCCCAUCCCUUUCUCUCCAUUUCUCUGUCUCUACUAUCACCUCAACUCCCCUCCCCAUGCCCUAAAUAAACUCUAUUCUAAACUUAAAAUAAAUAAAUAAAUAAAUAAACAAAUAAAGAAGCCUUAUAAGAAGUAGAAAAGUGACCCUUUCCUCACAGGUGUAUUGAAUCUGUGGCUCUUAUACUCUUUCCACACCCUCUUCCUUGAUGUUCCCUGAGCCUUAGGCCUAGGCUAAUAUUGAGUUAUGUCUACUAGAACUGAACCCACCACUGUCAGUUCUUUGCAUGUUGACAAGCUUCCCCUCUCUCCUCUACUCCAAGUUCCUCCUGCCCCUUGCCUUACUUCCAUUCACUCCUCCCGUUCUCUUCAGAAAAAGGCAAACCUCCCAUAGGUAUCAAACAGCCAUAGCAUAUUAAAUUACAAUAAAACCAGGAGGGCCAGGAACCAGAGGCUGUAUUACCCAAAGACCUAGGAUAGAAGCAAACAUUACGAGAGAGAGAGAGAGAGAGAGAGAGAGAGAGAGAGAGAGAGAGAGAGAGAGAGAGAGAGCAUUGUUGAUAACCUGCCAUACUCAUAGAUUGGUACCUAGCCCAAUUGUCAUCAGAGAGACUUCACCCAGCAACUGUUGGAAACAGAUGUAGAGAUACACAGUCAAACAUUAGGCAGAGCUUGGGGAACCCUGCAGAAGUUGGAAAGGAAGGAAUGUAGUAGCCAGAAGGGUCCAGGGCACUACAAGACAACCCACAGUGAUCAACUAACCUGGGCUCAUAGGGGCUUACAGAGACUCAACCACCACUAGGGAGAACACGUGGAACUGACCUAGACCCUCUACACAUAUGUUAGGCUUCAGUAGAAGACUAACAUAGCUAACAAUAGAAGAGGCUAUCUCUGACUCUUUUGCCUACCUUUGGGACUCAUUCCUCCUCCAGGAUUGUCUUAUCUCACCUUAAUAAGAGAGAAGGUGCAUAGUCUUACAUUACUUUCUUAAUAAUGCAAAAAACAUAAAUGUCAUACCCUAAUAUUUGUCCAGGCUUUAAGAAAUAAAGCAAUUUCAAUGAUUAAUUAUGAAUGAGUAUACUGUUUAUACAUUGUUUUCCUCGUGUUCUGAUUCUUUGGCUCAUUUGAGUAAGGACCAUGUUCUGAGAGUUUACAUCAUUUUAAUACUGCAUAUAGUGAAACUUUUAAGUUAAGUACAUAAAGUUAGGACCUUUGAGACAUGAUUAAGAUAUUUGAACAGAGCCCUCAUCUAUAGGAUUAAUGCCAACAUAAAAGAGAAGCAGGCAUAUGCCUGACCCUUCUCUAUGUAAGGAUACAUCUAUAUAGCACCCUGUGAACUGAGAGGAUAGCCCUCCUAAGACAUCAAACCUUCCUGUGCUUUACCUUGGACUUGGCAUCUUCCAAAUGAAUGU